AGUGAAGAUCACCUCUGCUCAGUUUCUGGGUGAGGAGUGAGAACGAAGUUGAACAUUGGAGCUUCCCAAAAGCUCGGUACUCCUCGUUAGAUAUCGAGCGAGAUCCCCGACGAAUACGAAACACUUCCUCAUCGGCCGGAGCUUUGGAACAUUCAAAAAAUUGUUCAUAGCCGCUUCACUUCAAUCUGAAUAAUCAAUAGAGUAGGGAAGAGGUAUCAUGAGAUCGAGCGACGUGUAGUAGCGCUGCAAGCGGACAUGAGUGGAGGUUCUCCCACUACGUUGGAGUGGAAAUUUUCUCAGGUCUUCGGAGAACGGGAACCGGGGGAGGAUGCUCAAGAUGUUGAUAUCAUAUCUGCGAUGGACUUUGACAAGAGCGGGAACUACCUUGCUGCUGGAGAUCGAGGUGGCCGUGUUGUGAUUUUUGAGAGGACGGAUGUGGACGAUUUAAGGUCUCGGAAAGAGUUGGAGCACUUGGAUUAUGGUCCCAAGGUUCGUCCUGAAUAUCGUUACAAGACUGAAUUCCAGAGUCAUGAACCAGAGUUUGAUUUUCUGAAGAGUGUGGAAAUUGAAGAGAAAGUUAACAGAGUAAGGUGGUCUGUGACACUAAAUGGUUCACUAUUUGUUCUCUCAUCGAAUGAUAAGACAAUUAAGCUAUGGAAGCUUAAGGAACGGAAAGUAAAGAAAGUCAAAGAGAUAGACCUGAAUCCAUUUGUGUGUUCAGAAAAUGCACUUCUUGCUGAGAAGAGUUUCCAGACUGGGCAGCAGAUACCAUCUGUUCCUAAUGGCAACCUUCUGGAGUGGACAAGUGACACACCAAACCACACAUUCCCAUCGUCUCAAGGAGGGGUUACCAAGAUAUCUAGCACUGGAGAUGCUGCUCUUGCAAGAUGCCGGAGGGUUUAUGCUCAUGCUCAUGAUUAUAACAUUAAUUCUAUCUCAAACAAUAGUGAUUGUGAGACAUUUGUUUCUGCGGAUGACCUUAGGAUAAAUUUGUGGAACCUAGAGAUUAGUGAUCAGUGUUUCAACAUCAUUGACAUGAAACCAGCCAACAUGGAGAACCUCAUUGAGGUUAUAACAUCAGCUGAGUUCCAUCCAGUUUACUGUAAUCUCCUUGCAUAUAGUAGCUCAAGGGGUUUUAUACGGCUGGUUGACAUGCGGCAGUCAGCAUUGUGCGAUCAACAUGCUAGGAUAUUUCAAGAUCGUGAACCCCAUGGAUCUAAAUCAUUUUUUACCGAGCUAAUCACAUCUAUCUCUGAUAUAAAGUUUGCGAGCGAUGGAAGGCACAUCUUAAGUCGUGAUUAUAUGAAUCUAAAGCUGUGGGACUUGCACAUGGAGGCUUCUCCAGUAGCAACUUUUAAGAUUCAUGAGUACCUUCGACCUAAGUUGUCUGACUUAUAUAAUAAUGAUUCAAUUUUUGACAAAUUUGACUGCUGCCUCAGUGGGGAUGGGCUUCAUGUUGCUACUGGAACUUAUAGCAAUCUUUUUCGGGUUUUCUCUCGGGAUGGAAAUGAAGAAGGAACCACACUAGAAGCUAGCAAAAAUCCUUACCGGUCCAUUGGCUAAACAGAAAAACAUCUUUCUUAUUUAUCGAGGAAUAGAAACAAACCUUUGACAAACCUGUACUGGUCUGUGAUAAUGUAUUUCUCAACACUCUGAUAUCUUUACUUUCAGCUGGUUGGGCCUGCAGUGAGAAUUGCUACCUACUGUGUCAAGGAUCUGUGCUUAUUAUGUUUUACACCAAAUGCUUCUUCAAUCUUCAUUUAGAAGGUUCCUUGAAGUGAUUAUAAUAAAAGUCUUUAUAAAUUACACUUAAACACACUAGUCUUUAAUUCUUUAUAAACUUUUUACACAUGCUCAUUAAUCUCAACUGUAGAAAAGAUAGGUGUUGCCUCAUUUAUGAGAUCCAGUGGACAUUGUACUUGUUCAAUUUCUGUGCUCCUAAGUAACCUAGCUGAAGCAGUGGUGCUGUCACAGUAAAAUGUUUAGAGAUUGGGGUUGAUAUGGGUUUUGGAAGACUCUAAAUGUAGAAAUGCAUGUGUCUCCUUAUUUAUCUCCUACUUCAUUACUAACCAGGAAGCAACAUCACCAAGCUACUUCCAGAGCUAGACGCACAUCGCUGAGCAACCUCACCCGUGGGCAUUUCCGACAAGGACAUUCAAGCUCCGAAAGUAAUGGGGUUCCUUGUGACUUAGCUUCCAAGCUGCUGCAUCUGGCAUGGCAUC